ensembl:lncRNA
GUCCUCCAAUGGGGGUCCCACCCUGAUUUGGUGGGGGUCCCAGCACUGAGUGUGGAUAUGGGGGGGCCCAAUGGGCGGUCAUGGUGCCACCAAUGGGGGGAGAACCCAAUUAACAUCAGUGUUAAUUGGAUGGGGGGAUAACGAACCGCGGUCGGAGAGCAGAGCUACGGUGGCCGCCAUGGUUGGGAUGGGAGGUGCUGCAAUGGGGGUCUCAGUGGGGACAUGGGGGGGACAUGGGGGGGGCCCAAUGUGUCAUCAUGGUGCCACCAAUGGGGGGAGAACCCAAUUAACGUCAGUGUUAAUUGGAUGGGGGGAUAACGAACCCACAUUGGGGAGCGCAGCUAUGAUGGCCGCCAUGGUUGGGAUGGGAGGUGCUGCAAUGGGGGUCCCAGCAUUGAUUUGGGGGGGGGUCCCAUCACUGAGUGUGGAUAUGGGGGGGCCCAAUGGGCGGUCAUGGUGCCACCAAUGGGGGGAGAACCCAAUUAACGUCAGUGUUAAUUGGAUGGGGGGAUAACGAACCGCGGUCGGAGCGCAGCGCUAUGGUGGCCACCAUGGAUGGGGACUGGAGGUCCUCCAAUGGGGGUCCCAGCCUUGAUUUGGGGGGGGGUCCCAGCACUGAGUGUGGAUAUGGGGGGGCCCAAUGUGUCAUCAUGGUGCCACCAAUGGUGGGAGGGACUCAUUAACACCACCCCUAAUUGGAUGGGGGGAUAACGAACCGCGGUCGGAGCGCAGCGCUAUGGUGGCCACCAUGGAUGGGGACUGGAGAUCCUCCAAUGGGGGUCCCAGUCUUGAUUUGGGGGGGGGUCCCAGCACUGAGUGGGGCCAUUGGGAGGGGGGGGGGCGCAAUGGGUCAUCAUGGUGCCACCAAUGGGGGGAGGGACUCAUUAACACCACCCCUAAUUGGAUGCCGGGAUAACGAACCGUGGUUGGAGAGCAGAGCUAUGGUGGCCAGCAUGGAUGGGGAGUGGAGGUCCUCCAAUGGGGGUCCCAGCAUUGAUUUGGGGGGGGGUCCCAGCACUGAGUGUGGAUAUGGGGGGGCCCAAUGUGUCAUCAUGGUGC